CAGCAGCCGCGGUAAUACGGAGGGAGCUAGCGUUGUUCGGAAUUACUGGGCGUAAAGCGCACGUAGGCGGCUUUGUAAGUUAGAGGUGAAAGCCCGGGGCUCAACCCCGGAAUUGCCUUUGAUACUGCAUGGCUUGAAUCCGGGAGAGGUGAGUGGAAUUCCGAGUGUAGAGGUGAAAUUCGUAGAUAUUCGGAGGAACACCAGUGGCGAAGGCGGCUCACUGGUCCAUUACUGACGCUGAGGUGCGAAAGCGUGGGGAGCAAACAGGAUUAGAUACCCCAGUAGUCCCUGUCUCUUAUAA
rnacentral:rRNA from 1 species